CUUCCUGGAAUGCUUCAGAAGGUGGCAAGGACAAUGAGAAGAAACAAGAAGAUGAAGUUAAUCCUGCAUCUGGGACAUUGUGAGUAUCAUCUAGCCUGUCUUCAUUUUCUCCAUAGUGCCUUUCAUUAAAUAUGAAUCCUUCCUAUAUACUGGAAAAUAAUCCAUCUUUCUUGCCUCAUGAGAACCCUAACUGAUACAAACGAAGAAGUUCUCAUCCUGGUCCUCCAGCACAAACACACAGGCUAGAACGGGCAAGGGGAAGGAGUGGCAACCCAAAGAAAGCUGUAGCUGGUGUUCUGGGCUUCAAAAUAAGAAGCAGCCUGAGUCUGCCUGGAGCCUGGCAGAGAGAAAGCUCCUCUGAAUUCCCCACGCCCAGCAGUUGGAAGAUCAGAAAGAUACCAUCUGCUGAUUAAUAAACACUCUUGUAUCUCUUAAUAAGAUGAUUGGAUCAGGGUGUCUCGGUGUCCUUGUUCUGAAUGUUCCUACGUUCCACCCCACACUCGCUGAUUGGAGGCCACACCCAGAGGCUCUGUAGUUGGGAUGAAUCACGUCUGAGCCAACUGUCCUUCCUGGAGUUCAUGGGCUGUGAUGAAUGUGAGUUCAGCCGAACUGGACACCUGCAAUCAACUCCCAAGAGCUCUGACUACUGCCUGUCACAUCGUCACAGCAUCGUCAGUGAGCCCUGACGAACAUGGGUAGAACUUCCAUGGAACACCCUCUGGGUGUUCAGCCCUGGGGUGCAGGGUGGAUAGUGGAGUGAAAAGAAACUAUAUAAGGGGGUCCCAGCUCUUCAGAAGGAAAGAAGAUGAAGAGAAUGAUUGUAACUCUGCCAUUUCAAAACUUGAGCCAUUUCAUUGGCAGAUUUUUAUUUAUCCAGUUCCCAUUUGGGACCUACCAGCCCUUACCUCCCCAAAUGAAUGAAUGUUAUUUUGUAAAGAGCCGAAACCUUAUGAAAUCUUUCCCAGCUCAUGACUCCCAUUCACCCCCUGGCUCACUGUGAGGCAUGUUUGUUCCUCCGGGAAUUGCAGGCUCUCCUGUUUGCAUGGGCUUUGGCUCAACCUCUUCCAAGUGGAGAUGAAGAGCUGAAGACUUUCUGGGCUCCAGAGCCAUAGUUCUUGCAUUCUUUACUUCCAGCUUAGUGUCCCCGAGAUGCUAAUAAACAAAGGGGAGAUUGUUUGCUUUUUCUUUUGAGAGAUAUUAAAGAAACUGAAAGAAGCAACAAAACCAAGAAGAAUCUGCUGCUCACUGCCCAAAACUGCAAGAACAAAAGCUCUGAUGAGGUGGACAUGCACACUGAUGAAACUGCGUAGCACUUCCAUUUUUCAGAAGGUAUUCUAGGCCCCCCAAAUGGAAGGUACUUGUCCAGAUUCAUGUAGGAAAUAAGUAAUAGGAUUGAUCUUAAAACUUAUGCUGGGCUGGGAAGAUAACUCAGCAGUCUAAACGCCUGCCUGGCAAGGUACAGAGUUAG